rnacentral:rRNA from 1 species
AUUGAACGCUGGCGGCAGGCCUAACACAUGCAAGUCGAGCGGAUGAAGGGAGCUUGCUCCUGGAUUCAGCGGAGGACGGGUGAGUAAUGCCUAGGAAUCUGCCUGGUAGUGGGGGAUAACGUCCGGAAACGGGCGCUAAUACCGCAUACGUCCUGAGGGAGAAAGUGGGGGAUCUUCGGACCUCACGCUAUCAGAUGAGCCUAGGUCGGAUUAGCUAGUUGGUGGGGUAAAGGCCUACCAAGGCGACGAUCCGUAACUGGUCUGAGAGGAUGAUCAGUCACACUGGAACUGAGACACGGUCCAGACUCCUACGGGAGGCAGCAGUGGGGAAUAUUGGACGAUGGGCGAAAGCCUGAUCCAGCCAUGCCGCGUGUGUGAAGAAGGUCUUCGGAUUGUAAAGCACUUUAAGUUGGGAGGAAGGGCAGUAAGUUAAUACCUUGCUGUUUUGACGUUACCAACAGAAUAAGCACCGGCUAACUUCGUG